UACAACGUUCCCUGUAUUUCUCUCCAUAAAACUUGCAACUUCAACAACUCUGGCAGGCAUGUUACAGAUACCUCUAACUAACAUUUUGCAAAAAGACUGCUUAUAGAAAACUCACUACUACAAAGAUGUGAGCUACAAAUAAAAAUACAAAAAUUCAAAACUAGAAUACACUUCAAUGCUCAGGUUAUCUUUCUUUGUUUCUUCAUUUUGCUUGUACUGUUAACGAGAUAUUGUAUGACUUUUGUAUAUAUGUAUUGUUUUUCAAUUAUUUAUGUACUCCCAUACCCCAAGGAGGGUUGGCUUACACAAAAUGCUGGAGUAACUCAUUGGAACAGACAUUGGGUUUUUUAAUUAAAAAAAAAAAAUUUCCUUGAUAGCCACAGUUUUUAUUGGUGUUAAUGGUAAAGCUGGGUGGGAAUCCAUGAUGUGCAAUAUGGUGCUCUUUAGUAAGGACACUCCGUCAAGGAUGUGAAGCAUUAAAUUAGUGGCUUGAAAUUAGUUAUUUGAUGAUGCUCUGUUAUUGGAAAAACACAGCCGGCAUUUUGUCCUAAUUGUUUUGUGCAGCUGGUGAGAGCCAAACGCUUCCAAAGCAUUUACAGUUAAAUUUGGGUAUCAAUGUGUUAGAAGGAAGAUAUUUUACUUGACAAAACGCACCAGUUCACACUGGUAAAUAUCUUUAAAAUUUGAUUUGCUGUUUGGUUUGUUUUUUGUUGUUGUUGUGUUUGUUCAGAAACAGAUGGGAUAGUUUGAAUAAUUUGAGUACAAACUCACUGGGAGGUCAUAGGAUGAUUGAAGAUUUGUCUCGGACCAGAAUGCAUUUGCUGAAAUCGUGGGGAAUUUUUAUAUUUGAAUAAUUCAUCUUGACAAGCUCAAUCUUAGUCUUGCCAGUCCCGGGUAAGUACAAGUCCAGAGUAAAAUGGGAACGAGCAGCAUAAUGAUAACAGCAAAAGAAGGUUUAAGGCUCAAGGAUUCAGAAAUCAGAGGUGCAAAGGGACUGG